rnacentral:tRNA from 1 species
GAGGAUAUAGCUCAGCAGUAGAGUUGCAGGCCUAGCAGGCAUGAGCUCCUGGGUUCAAUCCCCAGUACCUCCA